AAAUAACAUUGACUUGUAUUUUAAAAGGAAAAAUACUUUGAAGUUAAUACCAAGUAAAGAAACAUGGUCUGUGGCUCUGAGAACUGAAAUGAUGGGAAAAAAUUAUAUCUGCAGGUCUACAGUGCUAAAGACGAGGCUUGACUAAAUGUAGGGUUGGGGACAUUCAGGAAUACUCAUAUUCUCUUGCUCAACCAGAAAAUGAGGCAAAAGGCCAGUGAAAUAAUAGUAACAGCAGUAAUAAUAUUGUAUAUUUAUAUGGUGCCUUUCAUCUCCCAGAUUUCCACACUGCCGUGUCUAGCUGACUGCAGAUACAAUAAUCACUUCACUCACCACCGACGUGGAACCACCCUUGGCAAGGCCAUGGCAGCUGUCAAACAGCACAUUAAGAAUUACUGCUACAAUUCGAAAGAUCACGAGGGCAUUUUUGAAACAGGCAAGAACCAGCCAGCUCUGACACUGCCACAGGUAAUGAACACGCUGAAAUCCCAAUGGUGGAAGAUGCAGAGAAUGUACUAAAUUCUGCCUGUGUGGAAAAACUGAAAUAGUAAGAAAAUCCUCAGCUGAGGUAGGGCCUCCCUGGUGUCUCUCUCUGUGGAAACUCUUUUUUUUUUUGAACACAAAGAACGUGAGGUUCUUUUGAAAUGAGAUGGGGUGGGGGUGGCGGGGAGGAGUUCCCCCCACCAUGUGAAUCUACCACCUUUUGUCUACCAGUAAGUGAUAUGAACAUCUUUGUGCAGUUCGGUAACCAGUGUUACUCUGUGUGUUAUUGCCUACUGUGUGUUCUUCUCUAAUGACGCUGUUUUAACAUUAGUUAGAAUGACUUAGGUGGAUAAACCUAUGGUUUGGAAAACACUGUGGGGCUAUAGGUGCUGUAUCACUGUAGGCUUCUAUUAAAUACCUGGUAUCCAGACAAAGAAUCAUCCAAAGACACUCACAGAUGUACAAUGUAAGUAAAACUGGAGGGAAUGCCAAUCAGCCUUUCUCCUCGUGACUAGUACUACAGAGUUUGUAUGUUCUAGGUCUAGGUAAACUCCCAGAUGAGGAAGGAAUGAGGCAGAAACAAGGCAAAGGCAAGAAUAACUCACUUCCCAGGCUCAAGUUACCAACAAAAGCAUGAAAGCCUCAGCCUGUAGUAUAAAUUAUGACCUAUCAACUCAACCAGAGUCAUAAUAAGAAGGGAGGAAUCAGAUGAGUAAGGCAAUAGGGGAAAAGCAAAUACUGUGAGUAAUGGCAACAAGAGGUUAGUUCCCUAGAAGUUGUCUAACCACAUUAGAUAGCACAGCUUAGUGACUGAGUCUGGGCCCAGCGUCUAGAGAAUAAAUCAAAUGGUUUUUUGUUGUUGAUAAAACA
rnacentral:lncRNA from 1 species